rnacentral:lncRNA from 1 species
AAUUCUACCCCAACUCCACACUCUAGCUUUGAUUUCUCCAAACAAGUUUGCAGUCUCCCAUAUUUUGUUCUCAAAUCUACUCUCAUUACGCAUUUUCCAAAUAAGCCAAGUAGUACAACACCAAAGAGUCAUCAAGAGCUUCUUAUUUCUUUUCCGGCCACUCAAACUAGUAAAGAACUGAAAGUGCGAGGACACGUCAUAUGGCUGCGCCAUGCUAACUCCGAGCCAUUGAAAGAUUGCUUCCCAUACCUUUGAGGUCUUUGGACAGUGGAUCAACAAGUGGUUCGUGGAUUCCUGCCGAUGAAAACAGGCGUUACAUCCCACCUCGACUUCACACAACAUCACAUUUCUUCUCGAGAGAUUGUCACACGUUGGAAUUCUGUUCUUCAAAAUUCUCCAUGCGGUAAGCUUGACUUUGUUUGGAAUAGGGAUCUUCCAC